rnacentral:rRNA from 1 species
GAUGAACGCUGGCGGCGUGCCUAAUACAUGCAAGUCGAGCGAACAGACGAGGAGCUUGCUCCUCUGACGUUAGCGGCGGACGGGUGAGUAACACGUGGAUAACCUACCUAUAAGACUGGGAUAACUUCGGGAAACCGGAGCUAAUACCGGAUAAUAUAUUGAACCGCAUGGUUCAAUAGUGAAAGACGGUUUUGCUGUCACUUAUAGAUGGAUCCGCGCCGCAUUAGCUAGUUGGUAAGGUAACGGCUUACCAAGGCGACGAUGCGUAGCCGACCUGAGAGGGUGAUCGGCCACACUGGAAGUGAGACACGGUCCAGACUCCUACGGGAGGCAGCAGUAGGGAAUCUUCCGCAAGGGGCGAAAGCCUGACGGAGCAACGCCGCGUGAGUGAUGAAGGUCUUCGGAUCGUAAAACUAUGUUAUUAGGGAAGAACAAAUGUGUAAGUAACUAUGCACGUCUUGACGGUACCUAAUCAGAAAGCCACGGCUAACUACGUG